UACAGAGGUCUCAAGCGUUGUUCGGAUUCAUUGGGCGUAAAGGGUGUGUAGGUGGCGCGCUAAGUCGGGUGUGAAAUUUCGGAGCUUAACUCCGAAACUGCAUUCGAUACUGGCGUGCUUGAGGACUGGAGAGGAGACUGGAAUUCAUGGUGUAGCAGUGAAAUGCGUAGAGAUCAUGAGGAAGACCAGUGGCGAAGGCGGGUCUCUGGACGGUACUGACGCUGAGACGCGAAAGCGUGGGAGCAAACAGGAUAG
rnacentral:rRNA from 1 species